AACGAACGCUGGCGGCAUGCCUAACACAUGCAAGUCGAACGAGAUCUUCGGGUCUAGUGGCGCACGGGUGCGUAACGCGUGGGAAUCUGCCCUUUGGUUCGGAAUAACAGUUGGAAACGACUGCUAAUACCGGAUGAUGACGAAAGUCCAAAGAUUUAUCGCCAGAGGAUGAGCCCGCGUAGGAUUAGCUAGUUGGUGUGGUAAAGGCGCACCAAGGCGACGAUCCUUAGCUGGUCUGAGAGGAUGAUCAGCCACACUGGGACUGAGACACGGCCCAGACUCCUACGGGAGGCAGCAGUGGGGAAUAUUGGACAAUGGGCGAAAGCCUGAUCCAGCAAUGCCGCGUGAGUGAUGAAGGCCCUAGGGUUGUAAAGCUCUUUUACCCGGGAUGAUAAUGACAGUACCGGGAGAAUAAGCCCCGGCUAACUCCGUGCCAGCCGCUGCCGUAA
rnacentral:rRNA from 1 species